ACGCACGAUGCACAACCCCGGGCUUCUCUGAAAUUCAACAAUGACGAUGAAAGCCCCAAUCAUCGUGCCAAAACCACUGUCGUCUAGUGUUGCAGUUUCGCCACUUUCUCUCCACGGCUUAGCUGUGUCAAAAUGACGCCCACAUCU